rnacentral:rRNA from 1 species
UACGUAGGGGGCAAGCGUUGUCCGGAAUCAUUGGGCGUAAAGAGCGUGUAGGCGGUUCGGUAAGUCCGCUGUGAAAGUCCAGGGCUCAAUUCUGGAAAGCCGGUGGAAACUGUCGAGCUAGAGUCCGGAAGAGGCGAGUGGAAUUCCUGGUGUAGCGGUGAAAUGCGCAGAUAUCAGGAGGAACACCAAUGGCGAAGGCAGCUCGCUGGGACGGUACUGACGCUGAGACGCGAAAGCGUGGGGAGCAAACAGG